rfam:Oryza barthii chromosome 5, whole genome shotgun sequence.
CGCCAGCUUACUACGUCUUCAAUGCAACUACACGGGCAAUCACACGGUGCGGUGAACUGAUGACAGGGAAGCCGGCGACCGAAGCCCCGGUGAACGGCGGCCGUAACUAUAACGGUCCUAAGGUAGCGAAAUUCCUUGUCGAGUAAGUUCCGACCUGCACGAAAGGCG